rnacentral:lncRNA from 1 species
AACAAAAACAUUGUUAAAGAACUUCUAUUUUCUAACUACUUCAAAUAUUGCAGCGGUUCCUUUUUUGAGUUCCAUCACCUCCAAUUACAUAACAUAGACCUAUUAAAUCCAAAUCUAUGCACUUUACACAAUACAGAACGAAGACAUCCAUAAUGUCCACAUAUAACAACAGCAGCAGCAUAUUGAGCUCUUAAACACAAGUAAAGUUCAUCAAAGACAUCCCACUAAUGAAUUAUUACAUCACAAGUCUCAAGAGUUUGAACCAUUAACGAUUUAAUUUAUUGUCUCGAUGCAUAACUAAAUUCAAUCUACUCGUAAGCAUCUGAAAAAUUUUAACAAUAAGGAUAUGAGCAACCACAAUUUAGUAAACACCAAAACUCAUAUACUAGCAAAACUAAGCAUAAAUGUAUUUUAGAAAACUAUACAUAAAUGUUAAACCCUCUUUUAUUCUUAAAUAAAGAGCAAACAUGUUUUCCAAAUCAUCACUUUUAGCAUAACAAGCACAUAAGAUAACAUAAUCUUUGAAGACAUUUGUAUAACAAAAACAUAAGUGGAUAUAUUUCAUUUUAAUGCAAAGAUUAUCAUUCACUAAUUAUGAAUCACGAUAAAUAUAACUAAGCUAUCAUCCCUUUGUAUAACUAAGAAUAACUAAGCUAUAACCUUAUUAUAUCUCGAAUCAAAAACAUAUUCAACCUCCAUGGUAUAGGUAAGACAUUUAUCCCUAUAUCAAAAACAUAUUCAACUUAUGAGCAAUAUAUAACCCCAAUCGGCAAGAUCCAAACUAAAACCGACUAAUUAAAAAAUUAACCAUCAUUUAAAAUAACAUAUUGACAUAUCCUUGCAAUGCAUAAUUCCUUAUGUAUCAUUUGAAAUAUAUCCAACAAUAAAACAUUCGAAAAUAUAAUAAUAAAAUAUUUUAAAUAAAUAUAAUAUCGACAAUCUUAUUUUCAAAGCCAAUUUCACAUUUACAUAUCACAUUACUUCAUUAUUAACAAAUAUACAUUAUUAAAUUUGAAAACAUGUUAUACAAAAUCAUUGGAUACUUACCUAAAUCGUAGACUCUUAUAAUUGAUAUAGUCAUCAACACCCUUCUUCUUUUUUUGUAAAUUAGUCAAAUAAUAUAAACCAAUCGAUUCAAUAAAUAAUGAUGAUAUUUUCUUUCUUAUCAUCAUUUAUUUUCUCUAAGAUCACAAUAUAUUCAAUGAUUUUAUAUUAAUUAAUCUAUAGUCCUAUUUACUCUAUGAUUGGUAGGAGAUGAAUAGGAAUUCAAAAUCAUACAUAUAUAUAUAAUCUUCCAAAUUUUAAACUUAUUCUCUUGAUAUAAAAACGACAUCCUUAUUAAAUCUCACACCUCUUUUUUUUUUUCCCUUUUCUUCCUCCGUGUCCAAUCCACACACUAGUCAAAUUAUAAUGUCUACUCUAUCAUUUCGAAUACAACGUGUUUUUUCCUUUAAAUUCAAUAUAAAUAUAACAUAUUUUUAAACUAUAUCUUCGUAUGGAAGACUUGGUUGUAUGUUAUCUUCCUUUUCUAAUAUUUCUCUACUUUAAAACUAUUAGCCAACUCUUGCAUGAUGUUAUUAUAAUGAAAGCCUCAAAUAGAAGAAGACCAUAAGUAACCACAUUACAUAGAAAUACCAGUCUUCAAACACCAUAAAUAAAGCAGUCCAUCUUUUUUUAUAUCAACGACAUAAAUUCUUUUUUCAUUAAUCAUAGCCAGCAUCUACAAAUCUAAAAUACCAUAUAAAUAAAAAGUAGAGUAACUACGUACCUUCUCUCCAUCUACCAUAAAGUCUUGGAUCAU